rnacentral:tRNA from 1 species
UCUAAUAUGGCAGAUAAGUGCCAUAGAUUUAAGAUCUAUAAAUAAAGAACCAUUAAAUCUUUUAUUAGAA